UUGUCGUGGACAGACAGUAGGUUAGCACUCAAUUUGCCAAGGCCGAAAUGGCCUCCUAGUCUAUAAUACAUAUGUUCGGAUAAAGCACUAGCUAUCUGCUUCGAAGCUGCUUAACCGGGUCUUUUU